GAUGAACGCUGGCGGCGUGCCUAAUACAUGCGAGUCGAGCGAACAGACGAGGAGCUUGCUCCUCUGACGUUAGCGGCGGACGGGUGAGUAACACGUGGAUAACCUACCUAUAAGACUGGGAUAACUUCGGGAAACCGGAGCUAAUACCGGAUAAUAUAUUGAACCGCAUGGUUCAAUAGUGAAAGACGGUUUUGCUGUCACUUAUAGAUGGAUCCGCGCCGCAUUAGCUAGUUGGUAAGGUAACGGCUUACCAAGGCAACGAUGCGUAGCCGACCUGAGAGGGUGAUCGGCCACACUGGAACUGAGACACGGUCCAGACUCCUACGGGAGGCAGCAGUAGGGAAUCUUCCGCAAUGGGCGAAAGCCUGACGGAGCAACGCCGCGUGAGUGAUGAAGGUCUUCGGAUCGUAAAACUCUGUUAUUAGGGAAGUACAAAUGUGUAAGUAACUAUGCACGUCUUGACGGUACCUAAUCAGAAAGCCACGGCUAACUACGUG
rnacentral:rRNA from 1 species